AUUGAACGCUGGCGGCAGGCUUAACACAUGCAAGUCGAGCGGAGUGAUGGUGCUUGCACUAUCACUUAGCGGCGGACGGGUGAGUAAUGCUUAGGAAUCUGCCAUUUAGUGGGGGACAACAUUCCGAAAGGAAUGCUAAUACCGCAUACGUCCUACGGGAGAAAGCAGGGGAUCUUCGGACCUUGCGCUAAAUGAUGAGCCUAAGUCGGAUUAGCUAGUUGGUGGGGUAAGGGCCUACCAAGGCGACGACCUGUAGCGGGUCUGAGAGGAUGAUCCGCCACACUGGGACUGAGACACGGCCCAGACUCCUACGGGAGGCAGCAGUGAGGAAUAUUGGACAAUGGGCGGAAGCCUGAUCCAGCCAUGCCGCGUGUGUGAAGAAGGCCUUUUGGUUGUAAAGCACUUUAAGCGAGGAGGAGGCUACUAGUACUAAUACUACUGGAUAGUGGACGUUACUCGCAAAAUAAGCACCGGCUAGCUCUGUGCCAGCCGCCGCAGUAAAAC
rnacentral:rRNA from 1 species